rnacentral:rRNA from 1 species
AGUCGGACGGCAGCACAGAGAAGCUUGCUUCUUGGGUGGCGAGUGGCGAACGGGUGAGUAACAUAUCGGAACGUACCGGGCAGUGGGGGAUAACCAAUCGAAAGAUUGGCUAAUACCGCAUAUUUUCUGAGGAAGAAAGCAGGGGACCUUAUGGCCUUGCGCUGUCUGAGCGGCCGAUAUCUGAUUAGCUGGUUGGUGGGGUAAAGGCCUACCAAGGCGACGAUCAGUAGCGGGUCUGAGAGGAUGAUCCGCCACACUGGGACUGAGACACGGCCCAGACUCCUACGGGAGGCAGCAGUGGGGAAUUUUGGACAAUGGGCGCAAGCCUGAUCCAGCCAUGCCGCGUGUCUGAAGAAGGCCUUCGGGUUGUAAAGGACUUUUGUCAGGGAAGAAAAGGAUAGGGUUAAUACCCCUGUCUGAUGACGGUACCUGAAGAAUAAGCACCGGCUAACUACGUGCCAGCAGCCGCGGUAAUACGUAGGGUGCGAGCGUUAAUCGGAAUUACUGGGCGUAAAGCGGGCGCAGACGGUUACUUAAGCAGGAUGUGAAAUCCCCGGGCUCAACCUGGGAACUGCGUUCUGAACUGGGUGACUAGAGUGUGUCAGAGGGAGGUAGAAUUCCACGUGUAGCAGUGAAAUGCGUAGAGAUGUGGAGGAAUACCGAUGGCGAAGGCAGCCUCCUGGGAUAACACUGACGUUCAUGCCCGAAAGCGUGGGUAGCAAACAGGAUUAGAUACCCUGGUAGUCCACGCCCUAAACGAUGUCGAUUAGCUGUUGGGCAGCUUGACUGCUUGGUAGCGAAGCUAACGCGUGAAAUCGACCGCCUGGGGAGUACGGUCGCAAGAUUAAAACUCAAAGGAAUUGACGGGGACCCGCACAAGCGGUGGAUGAUGUGGAUUAAUUCGAUGCAACGCGAAGAACCUUACCUGGUCUUG